UCUGAUGGUAAAGAAUCUGCCUGCAGUGCAGGAGACCCAGGUUCAAUCCCUGG
rnacentral:tRNA from 1 species